rnacentral:rRNA from 1 species
GACGAACGCUGGCGGCGUGCUUAACACAUGCAAGUCGAGCGAUGAAGCUCCUUCGGGAGUGGAUUAGCGGCGGACGGGUGAGUAACACGUGGGUCACCUACCUCAAAGAGGGGGAUAGCCUCCCGAAAGGGAGAUUAAUACCGCAUAAUAAUCAGUUUUCACAUGGAGAUUGAUUUAAAGGAGUAAUCCGCUUUGAGAUGGACCCGCGGCGCAUUAGCUAGUGGGUAGGGUAACGGCCUACAAAGGCGACGAUGCGUAGCCGACCUGAGAGGGUGAUCGGCCACAUUGGAACUGAGAGACGGUCCGGACGACUACGGGAGGCAGAAGUGGGGAAUAUUGCACAAUGGGCGAAAGCCUGAUGCAGCAACGCCGCGUGAGUGAAGAAGGUUUUCGGAUUGUAAAGAUCUGUCUUUGGGGACGAUAAUGACGGUACCCAAGGAGGAAGCCACGGCUAACUACGUGCCAGCAGCCGCCGCAGUAA